GCAAGUCGAGCGGAAACGACAACAUUCAAUCUUCGGAGGAUUUGUUGGGCGUCGAGCGGCGGACGGGUGAGUAAUGCCUAGGAAAUUGCCUUGAUGUGGGGGAUAACCAUUGGAAACGAUGGCUAAUACCGCAUAAUGCCUACGGGCCAAAGAGGGGGACCUUCGGGCCUCUCGCGUUAAGAUAUGCCUAGGUGGGAUUAGCUAGUAGGUGAGGUAAUGGCUCACCAAGGCGACGAUCCCUAGCUGGUCUGAGAGGAUGAUC
rnacentral:rRNA from 1 species